CUGCCUUGUGUCUUAGUCAUACAGGUUAUCAUUGAGGAGGAACCAGUCAGCACUGCCUUGUGUCUUAGUCAUACAGGUUAUCACUGAGGAGGAACCAGUCAGCACUGCCUUGUGUCUUAGUCAUACAGGUUAUCACUGAGGAGGAACCAGUCAGCACUGCCUUGUGUCUUAGUCAUACAGGUUAUCACUGCCUUGUGUCUUCAUUCUACAGGUUAUCACUGAGGAGGAGCCAGUCAGCACUGCCUUGUGUCUUAGUCAUACAGGUUAUCACUGAAGAGGAGCCAGUCAGCACUGCCUUGUGUCUUAGUCAUACAGGUUAUCACCGAGGAGGAGUCAGUCAGCACUGCCUUGUGUCUUAGUCAUACAGGUUAUCACCGAGGAGGAGCCAGUCAGCACUGCCUUGUGUCUUAGUCAUACAGGUUAUCACUGAGGAGGAGCCAGUCAGCACUGCCUUGUGUCUUAGUCAUACAGGUUAUCACUGAGGAGGAGCCAGUCAGCACUGCCUUGUGUCUUAGUCAUACAGGUUAUCACCGAGGAGGAGUCAGUCAGCACUGCCUUGUGUCUCAGUGAUACAGGUUAUCACUGAGGAGGAGUCAGUCAGCACUGCCUUGUCUCUUAGUCAUACAGGUUAUCACUGAGGAGGAGUCAGUCAGCACUGCCUUGUGUCUUAGUCAUACAGGUUAUCACCGAGGAGGAGCCAGUCAGCACUGCCUUGUGUCUUAGUCAUACAGGUUAUCACCGAGGAGGAGCCAGUCAGCACUGCCUUGUGUCUUAGUCAUACAGGUUAUCACUGAGGAGGAGCCAGUCAGCACUGCCUUGUGUCUUAGUCAUACAGGUUAUCACUGAGGAGGAGCC